CCCCUGGUGGUCCAGUGGUUAGGAUGCGGCGCUCUCACUGCCGCAGCCCGGCCAGGGUUCGAUUCCCGGUCAGGGGA
rnacentral:tRNA from 1 species